rnacentral:lncRNA from 1 species
AACUCAAGCUUCCAUCAGCACGAGUCAUGACGUUCGACGAACAGCACAACCCACAGGAUCUCAAGGCCAACCUCGACUUGUUAGAAGAAAAGUGGGAGACGGCUUGAGUUCGGAUGGCGGCCUACAAACAGAAAGUAGCCUGCUACUACAACUCUCGGGUCAAAAGCAAAGUCUUCAGAGCAGGGGACCUGGUGUUAUGGCGAGCCACUGUCUCAUAACCUCAGAAUCAGGAAAAACUUGCCCCA